rnacentral:lncRNA from 1 species
CCCCCACAAAACUCAUAAAAACAGAAAAUAGGGGGUAUGAAGCUCACCUUGGGUGUGGUUUCGGUUUUGGAGAGAAGAUGGAAGAAAAAUGAAGUGAUUUUUGGCCUUAGCACCCUUUGAUGAAGAUUUCGACCUCUAGGAUGCAAGAUCACAAGAGUGAAUGAAUUUAGAAGAGAUUUUAAUGAAGUAGAGGGAGUUAGAUCAUAGGUUAAACAUUAACUUACCUUAGAUGGNAGAGGUUUUUGAUGGAAUGAAGUAGCUAGAUCAUGGAUAUAAGUAAAAACUUACCUAAGAUGAUGAUUAACUUGCAAGAUCCUCUUGAAAGCUUCUUAGAUUCACGAAAAUUUUGAAGAAGGAGGGAGGAUUGUUAUUCUAGACUUAGAGAGUUUGGAAGAGAUUUUUGUGGUGUGUGUGUGUUUGCAUGUGGCCGAGAGUGAGAGAGAGAGGAAGAAGAAAUGAUAUUUGAGGUGAUGUUUGCAUGGAGAUAUGAGUUUCUUGCAUGGAAGUCCUUUGGUUAAUAGUGAGGUGGCAUGAGAAAGUCAAACCUUUCUCUUGGGUUUGUUUUGGGCCGAAAACAUGGAAGGAAAAAGGAAAAUUUGGGCUUUUUGCUCCUAAGCCCA